GACGAACGCUGGCGGCGUGCCUAAUACAUGCAAGUAGAACGCAGUUGCGAACGGGUGAGUAACGCGUAGGUAACUGCCUCAUAGCGGGGGAUAACUAUUGGAAACGAUAGCUAAUACCGCAUACUGUGAGAUGGACCUGCGUUGUAUUUGCUAGUUGGUGAGGUAAAGGCUCACCAAGGCGACGAUACAUACCCGACCUGAGAGGGGGGUCGGGCAAAAUGGGACUGGAGCCAGGCCCAGAAGCCUAAGGGAUGCAGGAGUAGGGAAUCUUCGGCAAUUGGCGGAAGUCUGACCGAGCAACGCCGCGUGAGUGAAAAAGGUUUUCGGAUCGUAAAGCUCUGUUGUUAGAGAAGCGGUAUCUAACCAGAAAGGGACGGCUAACUCCGUGCCAGCCGCCGCGGUAAUUC
rnacentral:rRNA from 1 species